UCAACCAACACAAGUCCACGUCAGGGUUCCACGGAACCUGGUACAAAGAAAAAGAAAACCAAAUCCAAACACAGUGAGAACAAAAGCAAUAGAAGGUAGAGUGCUGAAUAAUAAUAAUAAAAAAAAACACCUGUAAUUCAGAACCACUAGUCAGAACUGUCUAGAAUUCAAAAGGUUAGACUGUGUUAGCUUCAUCCCCAAAAAAAAAAAAAACACGUGUUAGUAGAAGAGAAAAGUGUCACAGCAGUUAUUAUUCUCCUCAUUAAAAAGUCAAACGGACAAAA